rnacentral:rRNA from 1 species
UACAGAGGGGGCAAGCGUUGUUCGGAAUUACUGGGCGUAAAGGGCGCGUAGGCGGCCGUUUAAGUUAGGUGUGAAAGUCCUGGGCUCAACCUGGGGACUGCACUUAAUACUGGAUGGCUUGAAUUCGGGAGAGGAUAGCGGAAUUCCCAGUGUAGAGGUGAAAUUCGUAGAUAUUGGGAAGAACACCGGUGGCGAAGGCGGCUAUCUGGACCGACAUUGACGCUGAGGCGCGAAAGCGUGGGGAGCAAACAGG